AUUGAACGCUGGCGGCAGGCCUAACACAUACAAGUCGAGCGGAUGAGGGAAGCUUGCUUCCCGAUUUAGCGGCGGACGGGUGAGUAAUGCCUAGGAAUCUGCCUAUUAGUGGGGGAUAACGUUCCGAAAGGAACGCUAAUACCGCAUACGUCCUACGGGAGAAAGUGGGGGAUCUUCGGACCUCACGCUAAUAGAUGAGCCUAGGUCGGAUUAGCUAGUUGGUGGGGUAACGGCUCACCAAGGCGACGAUCCGUAGCUGGUCUGAGAGGAUGAUCAGCCACACUGGAACUGAGACACGGUCCAGACUCCUACGGGAGGCAGCAGUGGGGAAUAUUGGACAAUGGGCGAAAGCCUGAUCCAGCCAUGCCGCGUGUGUGAAGAAGGUCUUCGGAUUGUAAAGCACUUUAAGUUGGGAGGAAGGGUUGUAAGCUAAUAUCUUGCAGCUUUGACGUUACCAACAGAAUAAGCACCGGCUAACUCUGUGCCAGCCGCCGCAGUAAUAC
rnacentral:rRNA from 1 species